UACGGAGGGAGCUAGCGUUGUUCGGAAUUACUGGGCGUAAAGCGCACGUAGGCGGCUUUGUAAGUUAGAGGUGAAAGCCCGGGGCUCAACCCCGGAAUUGCCUUUAAGACUGCAUCGCUUGAAUCCAGGAGAGGUGAGUGGAAUUCCGAGUGUAGAGGUGAAAUUCGUAGAUAUUCGGAAGAACACCAGUGGCGAAGGCGACUUACUGGACGACUGUUGACGCUGAGGUGCGAAAGCGUGGGGAGCAAACAGG
rnacentral:rRNA from 1 species